UUCGCAAUGCCCGAAAGGGUGACGAAGCGACGCCGCGUGUGGGAAGAAGGCCUUCGGGUUGUAAACCACUGUCGGGAGUUAAGAAAUGCAAGGAUAUUAAUAGUGUCUUUGUUUGACUAAGCCUCAGAGGAAGCCACGGCUAACUCUGUGCCAGCAGCCGCGGUAAUACAGAGGUGGCAAGCGUUGUUCGGAAUUAUUGGGCGUAAAGAGCACGUAGGCGGCUCUGCAAGUCAGCUGUGAAAGCCUUCUGCUUAACGGAAGAACAGCAGUUGAUACUACAGGGCUUGAGUGCGGGAGCGGGGAGAGUGGAACUUCUGGUGGAGCGGUGAAAUGCGUAGAUAUCAGAAGGAACGCCGGCGGCGAAAGCGACUCUCUGGUCCGUAACUGACGCUGAGUGUGCGAAAGCUAGGGGAGCAAACGGGAUUAGAUACCCCGGUAGUCCUAGCCGUAAACGAUGGGCACUAAGUAGAGGGGUUUU
rnacentral:rRNA from 1 species